GUCGAACGGCAGCAUGAUCUAGCUUGCUAGAUUGAUGGCGAGUGGCGAACGGGUGAGUAAUACAUCGGAACGUGCCCUGUAGUGGGGGAUAACUAGUCGAAAGAUUAGCUAAUACCGCAUACGACCUGAGGGUGAAAGUGGGGGACCGCAAGGCCUCAUGCUAUAGGAGCGGCCGAUGUCUGAUUAGCUAGUUGGUGAGGUAAAGGCUCACCAAGGCGACGAUCAGUAGCUGGUCUGAGAGGACGAUCAGCCACACUGGGACUGAGACACGGCCCAGACUCCUACGGGAGGCAGCAGUGGGGAAUUUUGGACAAUGGGCGAAAGCCUGAUCCAGCAAUGCCGCGUGUGUGAAGAAGGCCUUCGGGUUGUAAAGCACUUUUGUCCGGAAAGAAAUGGCUCUGGUUAAUACCUGGGGUCGAUGACGGUACCGGAAGAAUAAGGACCGGCUAACUACGUGCC
rnacentral:rRNA from 1 species